UUCGUGAUGGGUUGGUGGUUGGACCGGCGCAACGACGAGCGUCUGAGCAGCUGCCGCAACCGCAGCAUGCUCUUCAGGAGGGAGCUGAAACCAGGUGAAGAAGUUACUUGGAAAUGAAAGACCUUGAUGAAGCGGGAAGUGCUCUGAUGCAAUUAAAUCAGUGUAUAACAAGUAGAUGAAGUUAUUAUUGUGUCAUCCCUAGAACAGAAACCGUGUCUUUACUCUUCUUGUACUCUCUGUUUCUAAGACAGAAAUUGUAAGGCCACUAAAAGGACUGUAUCAUGAUUUACAUCUGCCAACAUCAUUUUCUGUUUGGUUUUCUUCUUGAGCAACAGUUUUAUCAUAUAAUGAGGAUUAUAUCCUAUUCAGAAAUACUUUUUUCACAUGAUAAAUAACGGUUGGGGGAGUAUUCGACAGAAACCUAUGCAAAGAGCACUUCAACCUAUGGUCAUUGAUCAUUUUAUGAUGUUUCCUAUGUAUAAAGAAUCAGCCUUAAAAAUAAACUUGUUAGGCUCACUUAUUCUGUAAAUUGGUAACACUUCAUCAAAAAAAAUCCAAUUGGGGCUAUUUCUCUUUCAGAUUUAAACUUUUUCCUUUAGUAUUUGCAACUUCAGCUUUGCAGUUAGUGAAUGGGAACCAGAAAGUAAAACUGAUUGGAGACUUAUUAAAAACACUGAUGAAACUGUGAAUGGGAAAACUGGGUUUUUGAAAAAUACUCUGUUAACAACUAAGUGGCAAUACUUAUGUGGUUUCGACUUUACAACACUUGAUCUGAUGCCAAGCCACGCCAGCGAACAAGUUGGCUGUGUCACCCAUCUCCCUGGAGAACAUCUGUCCAAACUUCCUUGGACACUUUCUUUAAGAAAGAAGACAAGACUCCAGAAGAACCUGCAGCGAAGCCUCCUGAGAAGACACCAGCCAAGAACUCUUCAAAAAGUCCAACCAAGAGCCCUUCGAAACGUCCAGCAAAAUCUUCUCAAAGUCCUUCCAAAUCAAUAUGAUUGCUAUUUACAAUAUAAAUACAUUAAUGUAGCUAUAUUACUCAUCUAUAAUUA